GGUUGAUCCUGCCAGCAGUCAUAUGCUUGUCUAAAAGAUUAAGCCAUGCAUGUCUAAGUAUAAGUUCAUUGUACGACGAAACUGCGAAUGGCUCAUUAUAUCAGUUACAAUCUACUUGAUCGUAUUCACUACUGGAUAACUGUAGUAAUUCUAGAGCUAAUACAUGCAAAAAGUUUGGAUCAGAGGGCAACCUUUGUGAAGAACGUGUUUAUUAGAUACAGACCAAUACAGGGUAUUCAAACUCAGGCGUCAAAACCUGGGGCUCUGUUUUUAUGAUGAUUCAUAGUAAUGUU
rnacentral:rRNA from 1 species